rnacentral:tRNA from 1 species
GCGUUCUUAGCUCAGUUGGUAGAGCAACUGACUCUUAAUCAGUGGGUCCAGGGUUCGAGCCCCUGAGAGCGUA